GAUCCUGGCCCAAUCUUAGAUUAUAACAUGGUAUCAGAGCCUGUUUGAUCCAAUUUGGGUUCACCCGGUUAUGGGUAUUGGUGGCGUCCAAGCUUUCGUAAGCCCACUUGUUCGACUAACUAAUUGGUUGGAUUCAAUCUUUUAGUGUGGUUUAGCCCAUGUGCAUUAUAGCCCAAUUGAGUGAUCCUAGCCCAAUCUUAGUUUAUAACAGUUAUUACUU